CACGGCAUGGAGAAGUGGACUAUCUCGUUUGGCUCAUAACCAAAAGAACGCCUGUUCGAAUCAGGCUGCCGUAA
rnacentral:tRNA from 1 species